UGUCACAAUGUUGUGCCGACUUGCUGGGUAAGCAGGAACAAGUGGGUGUCUCUGUUUUCCCCUGCAUGUAAUGAUUCAGAUGGUACCAGUUCCAUGGCCUCCACUGUGGGAGGAGGCAAGAGCUGAUGCAAGAACGUCUGGGAGGCAUUUAGAGCAUCUUGCAAGAAGUGGUUGAAAAUUCCUGUUACGAAAUCCGAAAGCCCUCCUUUCCUUCUCACUUGAAACCUUUGGUCUUUCCAAUCAGCAGCUCUUCGGAGACCACAAAGCAUCCACAGCCACUGACCACAAAGUGAAGCAGGCAAGAAGCAGAGAGUGGGGAAGGGACCUCCAAAGAAAAGUCAUCAGGGACCUGCUUCUUCUAGCUGGGCCCCACCAACUAAAGUUUCCAGAGCAUCUGCAAAUUAGCACUACCAGCUGUGGACCAGACAUAACAGAGGCCUUUGGGGGACACUUCAGAUUCAAUGGGUAAGCAGUGCGAUCCCAGAAACCGCCUUGCAUUCUCAUUCUUUUACUGCUUAUGGCCAACAGUGGCCCACAUUCUGCCUUCUAACAGUGUCUGCUAACUUUACUGGAUUCAGAAUGCUGCAUCAGUGGAGUCACAGAGUACAUACUCUUUCACGUCUGACUGCUCUCGAUCAAGACUGUUUGUGAGAGUCAUCUGUAUCAUUGUGUCUAAUUGGAGGUUGUUGGUUCCCAUUGCUGAUCCUGUUCCAUUGUGUGAAUAUGACAUGCCUUAUUUAUCUCUUCUCCUGCAGAUAGGUGUUUGAAUUGUUUCCAGGUUUUCUUCUGUUUUUUCUUUUUUACUAUUAUGACUAUUUUUAUAUGUGUUCUCUUAGCAAACCUGGGCAUGCAUUUCGGUUGAGGAGAGGCGUAGGAGUAGAAUAGCUAGAUUAAGGGGGAGCAUGUGUCUUAACUCUCAGUAGAUGCUUGCAAACAGUUUGUUCAAAUAUAUACCACUGAGACACUUUUGCGAGCCAGUGGGAUUGCCUCCUUAGAAAACUACAUAUCAGAGAAACAAAACUAAACAUGGACUGUCCCAGGACAAUCUGUCUUUGCAUUUGAGAGAGGCCUCCUGUUCCAUAUCCCUGGCCAUUUCCUACAAGGCCUACCUUUGGGGGGGAGGAGGUGAAGUGGCUCACAUUUAGGGAUUUGAGGCAUUUUCACAAGAACAUGCAUUUUAGAAAGUAGAGAGGCUUUAAAUAUCCUGGCAACUAAAAACCAUAAGCUAGCACCUUUCCCUAGUAAAGAAGGGGUCCUGGCGACUACCCUCUACCUCGGCUCUUCUUUUGUCAUGUCUUAAUAUUCUUCCAAACCUUCCCAAACCUUCCUCCCGCAAGUCAGUUGGAAUUGGAACUCUUUGGCAGGUCCCUGAACUGCAUGGCUAGAAAAUUACAUGCCGUGCACAUCUGCAGCGAGGAACAUGAGGCAUUCUAGGGGAGAUUUAUUGCCUCCUUUCCCUCCUCCUUUUGGAAGGUUUCUGGAUGCCGUUCCCUGUGUAUAGCAUGUGCCUCCGGCUUAUCACUACGGUCGCUAUUUGUCCUCACAGAAUACUUAAGCCAGGAGGUACCAGGGGAACUUGUGACCUGGUGAUUUCCUUGGGUUGUAGGUGAGGAGACUAUGGCCAAUUGCCUCAUGGUUCCAUAUCCUUCACCCCACUUUGUGUUGAAGGUGCAUCGUAGGCGGAGUAUAUUCCCCUGCCUUUCAGCUGUGGAGUUCCCCAGGAGCAAGGCUUUAAUGGCUUGGGAGCUGCUCCAAAUAGUAUCUACAAGAACCAGAGCUGGAGUAGCCCUGGAGACCAACAAUGACUGAAGCUGGGAUCUGGCCCUUUCCUAGACAAGCAGGAAGCCCAAGCCCCAAGCCCAGCACUCUGGGAUCCAUGGCAGUUCAGGCAAGAAACACACGGAAGAUGCUGAAGGAAUUAGGUACCCCACACCAUGCCUUCUGGCCUCCCUCCAGAGAGGGAAAGUGCACCUGCAGAACUCUGCUUGCUUGUACUCGGGAAUGCCAGACUGUGAUAAGGUGAACUUAAGGAAGCAAAGCACCACUCCCACCUCCCCGUGAAAAAUACCCCUGGUCUUUCUCUGAGUCACCACAGGUUGACCCCUGUCUUAUUGGCCUAUAGAGAAGAACUGCUGAACACUGGCUAGCUGACAGAAUUUCUGCAUGUUGUAUUCUUAUUGAUGAGCACAGGCUGUGUCUUCAUAACUCUGGAGCUUGUACCACACUAAAGAACACUGUCUGUUUUGUUUGACUUUGUUUUUGUUUUGUUGUGGGGUCUUAUGUAGCCCAGGCUAGCCUUGAAUUCAUUAUGCACCUGAGGAUGAUCCUACACUGUACUCUUGUUCGUCCAGCCUUUAUCUCCCAAAUGUUAGAAUGGCAAGUGCAAGUCAACACUUGUAAUAAUGCUCAACAACACACUGUCUUGGGUACAGUGUUGCAAUUCAGCUAAAGUAAGAGGAAAGCUACCUGCUGCCAUAUUAACUACAGAAGUUUAAGGUUUAAUCAAGACAGGUAUGGGUGGCACAUGCCUUAAUCACAGCAGUUGGGAGGCAGAAACAAGCAGAUCUCUGUGAGUUUGAGGCCAUCCUGAUCUACAUAGCAAGUUCCAAGCUAUCCAGGGCUACAUUGAGAGCAUUGUCUCAAAAAUAACAAAGAUUUUUUAUCAAGAUCUAUCUCUGUCCAUAUUAUAAAUUCCAAGGAGGGGAAGAUCAUAUUGCCAUUGUUCCUUGUUGCAUAGCCAAUUCAUAGCACAGUGCCAGACACAUAAGGAGCAUCACUAUGAGGAUGAACGAAUGGAUUUUAGAAUAAAUGAACACAGCUGGUCUAAGAGAGAGCCCACAGGUGGCAUUUUUGCAUAACUGGCCACAGAGGUCCAGCAUAUCAGACCUGGGCCUAUGGACCCUUUGGCAUCUGGUGAAAGUCCCCCCUGCUCCUCCCCAUGGCACCAUGCCAUACUAAACUUGUCUCAACAAGCAGUUACUGCUGAGAUAACAUCUCUAUCACCCUGGCCUCCCUGGUGACUAGAGGAUACAAGGGACACCGGGGACUGUGGCAGCCGGAGCAAGCGAUUGCACUCCCCUGCCGAUUCCCCACCCCUGAUUUGCUGGCAGAAGUUGGUGUGCUGGCAGCAUCUGCUGCUGUUUGGAACCAAAGCUGCUCGUUGUCAUUCCUGGUGCCAGCUGGGCAGCCGAGCAAAGUCACCAAUGCAUAGAAGAGCCCAAAUUGUCAGGGGCCACCAACGCCUGGGAUAGGGCAGAGACUGACUGACUCUCCAUGUCUGGAUCCUGAGUCACCAUGUAAGAAGUCUGGCUGCUGUGCUAGACAGAACACAUGACAUAACUAUGUGGCGAGGCAAAGACUCCGAAACCACGUGGAGAGAGAAAAGCUUAGCUCAAUCCAGUCUCCAGCCAGCCCAACUGCCAGCUGAAUUUAGCCACAAGAGGGAUUACCAGAAAGGCCAGCAGAAGAGUCACCCAGCUGAUCUCAGCCCUGACUGGAGAAGGAUUAGCAAAUAAAAUGCUGUUUCAAGCCAACACAUUUCGGGUCAUUUGUAUGGCAGCAGUAGAAAGAAGCCUUGCAAACAUCUGUCUUGUCCUAGGAUUGGUCAGAAUUAAAUCAUAUACCCAUAUCACCAGAAAGGGAAUGGAGCCAGGUCAGUGAACACACAGGAAUCACUAGGUGUCUGCCUUGUGAGCAGAGGAGUGGGACCUACUUCCUUUGAGUAUGCAUCCUCACUGAACAAGAGAGAGAAAGCCCAUAAUACCAUCAGGUGUUUUCAUGAAAGGAUGAAGAAGAUAAAAGAGGCAGGUGACAGGAUCCCCUGCAUCUCAUGAGAAAGAUGAGGCUGUCUCUUCACUCUGGUAUUGUUUCCUUUGCUGUCCAGAAGUAAUUUGAAGAACCAGGAAGGCACUAACUGCAUCAAAUGUUCCUUUAAAAACCAGCAAUAUGAUUCAUUGGGAGUGUCCCUUAUAACUUGGUACUAACACAGAGGUAAAAGAAGGUAAAUAAAUUUAUUGGUCCAGUGUUAAAAAAUAUGGGCAUCCUUGUUCUUGCUUUCACUUUCCUAACAAAGAACAAGAUGAAAAUAUGAACUUGCAGGUAAAGAGGGGUUUUCAGAAAGAGGAGAAAUUGUAAAUUAACUUUAUCCAAGGACAGAUAACAGGCUUCAAAGGCAGGCUUGCCAUAUGGCUAGCAUGCCUUUUUGAUGUUCUUGGUCAUAUGUUUUAAAUGAAUCCUUCAGUCCCUUUGGAUAAAAACCCACAUGAGUAAAGCUGAUUUCAUGACAAGAGCUUGUGAGAUGACAGCAAGUGGAACUACCCAAAACCCAAGGGAUAAACAGUCCCCAAGCAUGGAACUGUCUCUCUUUCUACAUUUGUCUUCAACAUCCCAGAGCUCAAGGCAACUUUGGUACCUUAGGAGUUCAAAGUUGAAACUUCCAAGAAAUAAAUGCUUUGUGGUAGAACGGUGGGAGAACCAUGUCUUUUGGGAGGCCUUGGGACAAAGACCACUCUCUCUUCCAGUAGUUUCUGUUGGUACCCUUCCACUAAGAUGCCAAGGUUGCAAAAUUUGAUUGUAUGCAUUCCAAGACACAUUCAAGACUUUCUCUGAGUACUCCUAGAAACACCUGGAGGAAACUUUGUGAUUCUGUAAUCUUAUUUCCAGGAAUAAUGAACUAUUACAACUUAAAUACUGAGAUGAUUGACUGUAGCCAACUCCAAUAGGUUCAUAAAUUUUGUGGAGGUGUUUGGGGAUUGGACUAACAUUUGAAAAGAUAGACUAGAUCUAGAUAACACAGAUUUCCCUUUCUAAUAUAUAUAUGGGAUUCAUCCAAUCAGUUGAGGGCAUGCAUAGAACAAAACAAUUACCAAGCAAGAGGGAAGUUUUUCCAGAACAUGAACUAGUUUGUGGGUUUUCAGUUUGCCAACCUACAUGGUACAUUUGGGGAUUUUCAGCCUCUGUAGUUACUCAAGAAAAUUCUUUAAGAUAAAUCAAUCUAUCUCUGCCUCAACCUCUCUGUGUUUAUCUCUAAUCUACUCUCUCUCUCUCUCUCUCUCUCUCUCUCUCUCUCUCUCUCUCUUUCUCUCUCUCUCUCCUAGUUGUGGUUCUCUGGAGUGGAGAGAAUAUUCAUGGGGAGGAACUCAAACUCAGCUCAGAUAUCAAUUCUCAAUGCUCCAUUUGCCUUCAAAGCCUGGGGAAGCCUAAGUUGUGUUUUGUUGUUGUUGUUGUUAUCUUGAGAAUAAAAAAGAUUGUAAUAUAAAAGAAGCCUGAUGAAUACUGAGUAAAAGAACUUAAAUGAGCAGACAGGCUAGUGAAUAAACAUUAUGGAAGGAAAAUAGAGAAAGGCUAUAGAUGGAGGAAGGGGGGAUGAAUAUAUGAAUGAAAAAGUUUCAGUAAUGGGAAGUACUCAGUUUGUAAGCCUUGAAUUCAGAUGGCUUGUGCCAUUCCCAAUGCUGCUACUUACCCUCUUUGUGAGCCUGCCAGUUCUUUCUUUAUACCUAGAAUGAGAGUAACAAUAAGUAACAAUAUUUGGGGCUAGAGUUGUAGCUCAGUAGCAUAGACCCUGGAUUCCAUCCCCAGUGAUGUAAUAAUAAUAAUAAUAAUAAUAAUAAUAAUAAUAAUAAUAAUAGUAAUAAUAGU